UACGCCCAUAUCACAUUAAAACACCGGUUCUUGUCCGAUCACCGAAGUUAAGCAACGUUGUGUCUGGUUAGUACUCAGUAGGUGACAACUGGUGAACACCAGGUGUUGUGA